AACGCGACUGCUCACACGGAGGUGUAUCCGGCAUAAGCUGCCACUCACACUGCAGUACAGAUCUGGGGUUAAGAUGCUGUCAUGGAAACAAGAUAAAUGUGGAAGCAGCCAGUGGUGGCUGGAACAUCAUGCUGCAAAUGUGUGGACAGUCGAGGUUACAGCCCUCCAAGCAGGUUAGAACCCACAGAGAGAGCUCAGGCUUAAAGGAGAGGAAAUGUACAGUGGAUUACUGCACUCAUUCAUGGAGAAAUACAGCAGCAGCAUCUCAGGCACUAUUUAAGGUAAUAUCCAAGCGUGCUGGACAACAUAAAG